ensembl:snRNA RNU6-266P RNA, U6 small nuclear 266, pseudogene
AUGCUCACUUCAGCAGCAUAUAUACUAAAAUUGGAAUGAUACAGAGAAGACUAGCAUGAUCCCUGUGCAAGGAUGACACACAAAUUCAUGAAGCAUUCCAUAUUUUU